UACGUAGGGUGCAAGCGUUGUUCGGAAUCACUGGGCGUAAAGGGCGCGUAGGCGGAUUGACAAGUUAGAGGUGAAAGCCCAGGGCUCAACCCUGGAAGUGCUUCUAAAACUGUCAGUCUAGAGAUGGUCAGGGGUUGGUAGAAUUCCAGGUGUAGAGGUGAAAUUCGUAGAUAUCUGGAGGAAUACCGGUGGCGAAAGCGGCCAACUGGGACUUAUCUGACGCUGAGGCGCGAAAGCAUGGGGAGCAAACAGG
rnacentral:rRNA from 1 species